GCUCUCAUUCUCACUCAUCCCUUACUGAUCCUCUCUGCAACUCUUCCAACAACCUCAUCACUGCACCAUCUAUCUAUCACACCUUUAAUUUGCUUAGCUUAAACCUCUAAUCUAAACUAAUCUACUUCACAAUGCUUGUCCGAUCCAUAUCCUCCUCUCACUGUUUUUCUUUACAACCUCCGCAACCGAAACCAAUACCUCAGCCGGCCACGCCAUCCCCUUUCCCACCAUUUCAACGUUAAAUAAUCCGUUUCUCGGGCACCCAGCGUCUCAAUAUUCGACAUAUGCUACGGCUUAAACGGUUGAUGAAAGGGGCACGUUUUGCUUUGCAUUUGCUCCAUCUCCAACCGGACUAUCCAUCAUAAGCAAGAAGGCAUCCAGAUUUCUUUUGACAGCUCAAAUGAUUUUGUGAAUUUUGGCCCCAAUAUUUGUUAACUUAUUAAGCCCGAUCCCUAAAAAUAAUAAUUAUUAUGUGAAUUUUGUUAGUCCAA